UUUCUGAUCUUUUUUUUUUUUUUUUUUCAGAUAAUGUUUAUUUCCAUGCCUCGGUUUUGUACUCAUUGGGCUAAAUACUUGAUAGUGUCAGACUUAUUCUGAACCCAUCCAUAUGACAACUGUUUUUGAAACUAUAGAAUGAAUCAUAAGGAUUCAAGAUUAAUGAGACCUGAUAGAUAGAGGCAUGCUUUUGCAUAAACUCACAGAUUGAUGACUGAAAAUUUAAUGACUCUUUAUACCUUGUACAAAUAGGGUUUGGGCACCUAACAGAGUAGAGGAUGGUGGAGGAAAAUUAAUUCAUUUUGAAGCAAUGAAGCUUAAAAGAGAGAAACAAAAGUAUAUUGCCCAAAGUGUGUUAUUUUCAAUAUAGAAAUAAUUGGAUGUUUUAGUCUGCAAAGUAUUUUGAAACUUCUACCAUAAGCUAGUGCCUUUUUGCAUUUUAUUAAGCUUAUUUAUAAACUACUUUUAAAAGCUAUUGUGGUGUUUGAUCAUUGUUGAAGAGUUUCAUAUAGUCCAAGAAUCUGUGAUAAUUCUAUCCAUCACAGAUUCCAACCUACAUUCAUUUUCCUCCAAAUGGUAAUUUAUUAAUAUCUAUUUUUGUAAAUAUGGAGAAUAAAAUGGGAACAGCCUAUACAAGUCUUGUUUCCAGAAAUUGACUGGAUUUAGAAUUAGAUUGAUAAAGAGAACUCAUAAUUUCAAAGUUUUGAAAAUAAUAUAAAGGAAUCUCAAGAUAGUAAAUAUUUGUGAGUUAAGUUAGUCAACAAGCAUUUAUUAAGCACUGAUGGUGCUAAUAGCCUAUUGAGAAUAGGACCCAUAGAAUAAGUUUUUGAAAGCACGAAGCCUAGGAUUAUGCCACAAAGAACUGUAAUCUAUAGCCAAACUAUUGCACAUUCAGAGCACUUAAAUAGAUAUAUUUUUCAUGUGAAUAUUGCAGAAUUAUAUCCCUUUUAUAAGAUGAAUUAUUUUUAAGGACUGUUGUAACUAUUUGACCUCGGUUUUUAGAGCUCCCUUAAGAAUUGAAAUCCUGUGCACUGUAUCUUUUUUCUCCCCCCAGCCCCAGAUGCUUUUAUUUUUUCCUAAGGUGUAUUUGUUAUGGGAUAUGUGUUUUUCUUUUUUUUCCCUCCAAAUGUAUGUAGUCAUGCAUGUUACACAUGCAUCCAUAAUUUGGUUUUGCUACUUUUUUCAGUCAUUUUUUCCCCAGGUACUAGUUAAUCUGCAGCAGUCCAUAUAGAUGGCUAUGUUUAUCUAAUGACUACAAAUGUACUUGACAAUUUCCAGUAUACUUCUAUUGUAAGCAGCCCAGGACUCUCUCUAGUUUUCUUUGCUUUAGGCUGGAUCUUUGUCCCUUGGCUUAAAGUUGCAUCAGUGUGGUGGCCUUGUUAAUGGUAGCAGAUGUGGAGUAAAUGAGAUGACUGACUGUUUAGAAAAGAAGGAAGGGAGAUGUUACAGACUUCUUAUGGAAACAAAUUAUAUCCAUCAUUACUUGUGAUGAAUAAAAGAUAUUGAAAACUCAGUAAAGCAAAUUUUUAGAAGGACAUAGAUUAGGGUGGGCAGGAAAAAAAGCUUAGAGAAGAUUAACUUGCCAGUUAUAUAAAAAUAAAACUGUGUAUGGUCCUAUAAAAUAAUAUCAUUGACUGUAAGAAGGACUCAGUUAAGGGAUUAUAAAAACUUAGCCUAUCUGAAAAUUGUUAGAAUUGUGAGAAAUCUGUAGAAUGCCAUUCUAGUUGUUUCAGUAACAUUGUGAGUAUGUGCUUAGUAAGUACUGUUAGUCAACAAUAUUUACUAAGGACCUACUAUGUGCCUAGGUAUUGUGCUCACUCAUUUGGUCACAAAAAAAGGUCAAAGAUAUUUUUUCUUUUUUGAGGAGCUCACAGUCUUAUUGAAAGACAUGUCUGUGUGCAAACAAGCUUCAUGUAGGAUAAAUUGGAGAUAAUCAAGAGAGGGAAAGUACUAGCAUGAAGAGGAAUCAGGAAAGGCUUCUAGAAAGUUCAAUUUUAGCUGGGACUUCAGGAAAGCCAGGAGAUAGAAAGGGAGAGAAUUCCAGUCAUAAGGGAUAGCCAGUGAAAAAUAAAUGGAGGGUGUAGUAUGAAGAACAGCAAGGAGGCUAGUGUUAUUGGACUUCAGAGCAUUGGGCAUGAGGGAUGGAAUAAGAUAUAAGGUGUAAGAGGUACUAAUUAUGAAGGGUUUUGAUUACCAGAGUAUUUAAUAUUUUAUCUCAAAGGUGAUAGGGAGUCACUGGAGUUUAUCCAAUGAAAGGCUAACAUGGUUAGCCUUGCAGUGAGUGAACAAUGACCUGAAGUGUCUAGUUCUAAGAUGAUGAGGGUCUAUACUGGAAUAUAGCACAUUGGGUGAUGUUUUCGAAUUUGUGUUCCUACAUUGUGGUCAAUACACAUAUGGGUACCACAUCAAAUGUGAUGUUAGUAGAUUUUUCUCCUUUGUGUCUAUGUGCUAGGGAUUUCACCCAUGCCUCCAAACCUGAUUUAUGACCUCUUCUUUGUCAUUAGAUGUUUUCCAUUAGAUAGAACAUUCCUUUUUCUGAUAUAAUUCUUGCUGUUGCCUGUCUUAGAGGAUAUUAUCUCUGAAAUGUAAAAUAAGACUGCCUCAUUAACGUACAUUUUUGUAUGCUUUUCAUGUAUCCAUAGACUAGUAUGUUAGCUUUCAGCAUUCUAGUAUCAUAUUUCACAGUUGCUUCAUCUGCCACAUGGUAAAUGUUACUGUUCCACAUUUGGCUAUAUCAAAGGAAAUGAAUGUGUAAACAUUUUAAUAGCAUCUUAACAUAAUUUGUUUUUACUGCUAUUUAUUAAGAUGCUACUCUGUCCUAAAGGUUUGUAUUACUUUAUUUUUUUCCCCCAAAGGGCAUUGACUUCAGGAAUGCCAUAUAAUUUCGAGGAAAGUUGCAAACAAAUGUUAUUUUCCAUAUUAAACUCUCAGGUUAUAUUGUUGAAAAAUUAGUUUAUUUUUUGCUGUUACUUAAAUCUGCUGCUGUAGUAGAAAUAUAGAAGUUUAUAUGUGAUCAUAAAUAAGGGAGAACGGGCACCUUUUUUGAGUUAGUCAUGCUGGUGAUUUAGUAAGUUCUUUAUGGUUCUCAAUCUAAAAUAUUUACUUCAAAAAGAAUCAGUUUUGGCCUGAUUGAAUAAAAUGCUCCAGAAGUUGCACUGAAAGAAACAAACCAUCGAUAAAAUAUAUAAUAUAUGUGUGUAUGUAUAUAUGAGAAUAUAUAAAAUGAUAUUACAAAUGGAGCAUUUGCAUCAACUUACUAAACUCACAUUGAGAGAAAACUAAGUCCUAUAACUAAGUCUUAGUCCAACUAAGUUUUGAUAAAGCCAAGUACUGUAGCUAUAAAGAAAAGUAGCUUUCAAGUACUUUGGGAAUUCAUAACUUAGAAACUUGUAAAGGAAUAAAUAACACUUUUGUAUUUUAAUGCCUUUAGACAUAUACAAUACAAAUCUUGUGUCUAUGCUUUGACCAGCGGAAUUCUAAGCUUGUAUCAUAACUUGCUUUUAGGUGGGAGAUUUUUGAAAAUAGGAUGUAUAUAUGAUAUUGUAUAUGCAAAUGUGUUUAGUUUCACUUGUAAAGGGGGGGAAAAGGCUUAUUUUCUUUACACUUCAAUAAAUGGUUUUGCAUAUUACCGGCACUGACUGAAAGGCAUGUGUAACUGCAUACACUGUUGCUUUUUUUGUGAAAUGAAAAUAAAUAUUUAAAUACAA
ensembl:lncRNA